UGAUUGGUAGCUCAGUGGUAGAGUGCCUGCUUUGUAUGUAUGAUGACCUGGGGUCAAUCCUCAGCCCCUCUC